GGAUCUGUGAGCAGGCAGAGGGGCUGAGCAACGGCUCUUGGGAAUAAUUUCUCUGCGGUGGACCAUACUGAGUUGAUGUGUUCUCACCAUUUGUCACCUCCCUGCCUAGGGAUUUCAGAACAAACUGUAAGGCAGAAAUCAGCUGUGACAAAGAAAAAGUUUCUCUGACAGAGGCACGAAUUUCCACAUGGACAUGAGGUUGGGAUCAUGGGAAGGAGCAGAGAGAGAUUCAAGAAAAGAACAGCCUUGAUGAUGUGGCAGUAGUGGAAAAGAAGAAAAAGAUUAAAAAUAUCAAUCAGCCUGGGACAGACACAAG